GACCUUCUCUAUGUCUUUGAGGAGCCCCAGCGUUCUCGUGUCGCGCUAUCACGGGGAUGUAGAAGUAGCAGCAUUGCGAUAGAAAGCGUCUCCGAGGAUAAAAGAAAUUUGUCAAACCAGACUUUGGAGUUCUGCCGAAAGCCACUGCCUUCCUACUCCUCAUCCAAUAGCAGCAGCUUCUGCAGCGCACAAGGCAGUGAGAGCUCCCCAGAGGACAAGAUUAUGGACACCUUGAAAUAAAAGUUGAUGAUGUCACCCCAAGAGACCUGCGGACUCUCUGUAUAACACAAGUCCUGAUCCUCUCCAACAAAUCAAAAUGCUCCCUAUUUCAUGGAUGGGGACAGGCUUUGGGGGGUUUGUCCCCAGAAUCCCCUUUCCUUUAGAAAUGCCACUUUGGUUUUAGAAUGAAUCUAGAGGAAUAUCAAAUAUCUAUUUUUCUGCAUGUAUGGAUUCUAAUGUCCUUAGUGUUCGUAAUAUUCACAUGAAAUAUUUAUUGACAAAAAUCUGUAUUUAAUGAUAAAAGAGUAUUUAUUUUCCUGUAGUAAAAUAUAUAAUAUUUAACUGUAUAGCAGAGGGCUUUGAGUUUUAUUACCAUUGUGGGGGAUGGAGAACAUUCUUUGAAAAAUAAA